rnacentral:lncRNA from 1 species
GGGGGCUGCUGGUUCUUCCAGGAGCGCGCAUGAGCGGACGCUGCCUACUGGUGGCCGGGCGGGAUGUAACCGGCUGCUGAGCUGGCAGUUCUGUGUCGCUAGGCUUCUGCCCGGCCGCCGCCGCACAUAAGCCACGAGGAGGAGCUUUACGACUUCCCGGUCUUCGGCGCCGGGCGCAGCAAGGGCCAGACUCUGCGCUAGCAGGCGCUGCGCGCCAACCGGCCGGCACCUGUCGCAGAAGGUGCAACCGAUCGCACUGUCGCGCAGAAGCUCCUCAAUGGCCAGCGCCAGCUGCAGCCCCGGCCGCCCACUCGCCUCAUCUGAGCCUGGCAGAAGGUAAGCAUGAGCAAAUUACUUUUUAGAGGUAACUUUGCUGAACUUGUGAAGAAUGGUGUGCAAGGUCCAGAGCGACUGCAGGAGAGGGAAGGUGGGAUUCCCACAGAGCAGGAGCACAGAUAAGCCAAGCAAGGCCCUGCUUGGAAGGCAGCAAUCAACAGAGAUGCACAGACCUGUGAGGGUGCCGGGACAGCCAUGCAACAAUGCAGCCCUUUUGCUUCCUGAGCUCACCAGUUCCCUCGCUCCACCUCUGAGAGGUGGUUUGGAGAAACACAGCCCUUCUCAAGAGGGCUGCAAGCUACUUAAGUCCUGAAAAUUUCCACAAGGCUGAGUCAAAUCUGCGUUUCAUCAUCUAUAAGAAAGGUACCUAUCGAGAACACCCUGCUGGCCAGUGUGUAAAUAUCUAAAGGAGGACUCAGAAAACACCGGGGAAGUCCAGCCUGCACGUGGUGGCUGGGCUUCAGUGAAGCAUGCAGCACAACAGGAGUUGUAAGUAGUAGUUACAUCAGCAGCCCUGGAAAUUCUGCUCAGAACCAAACUGAACAAAUAACAUUAUCUAAGGCUUACAAUUAUUUAACUCCCUAAAUUUUCUGUCCUCCCAGUAGCACUUUCAAAUGCCUAAAAGCAAUUAAAAGAAACAUUUUUCCAAUGUCUCACAGAACCAUUAGAAACACAAAAUUAAUAGCUUCAUAAACUAUAGCUUCUAUUUUAUCCAUAAUAGAAUGAAGGUGCAUAAACCACAUAGUAAUUAAUCUUUGGACAAAAGCAAACAAUAAAUGGAAUAUAUGGCUAAGAUCCUUUCUUUUUGAGUGUGGCCCAAGAUAAAAAUUUCUUCCAAAAGGGUAACAUUAAUGCAAUAAGGCUUUUGUGGAAUUCUAUUUUGUACGAAAUUCCUGUUUUCUAUUAGCUACUUCUUCCUCUGUGACACAAGCCUCAUUCCUUGUGAAAAACACGAAGCAGAAAACAUUCGUGAAAUCAUCAGGUAAAGAUCCCAUGACCGUUCUAUCACUGACACAGUAUGUAGGUACAUGGUACAACCCCCAAGGGACCACCUUGUGGCAUCCUCAGCAACCACAGAGCCACAGGGCAGAUGAGUGUUUGCUCCCACUGAGGCUCUGCAACCUCUGCCACCAAUACUGGAGAAAUCCUCCAACCUCACUGUUUUCUCCUGAACUUGUUCCCUUCUGUUUUUCGAUUAAUACACAGCAAACAGGCACACCUUCAAGCUGCCAAAAGCAUCUUAAACGUUGUACACUUACAAUCUUCAAAAUAUAGUUGUUCAAAAGAGUCAUCAAAGUAGUUUUUGAAAUAGAACACUUACUUUGACCACAUAAUUGAACCUUCGGAUAUCUUGAAUUGCACUUGAGAAGUCUAACCGAUUAAAGGCUUCUCCCAAGGUGCAAUAGCCAUGCCUCUGGAAGAGCAACACAGAAUUUAAAAUUAGUCAAUUAGCCAAAAAGAAUUGGCAGUUAAUGUCAAUUAAUUGUGCGAUUAAAAAAAUUUUUGGCAAAGGACAAUUUGUUUUUAUUUUGAAGACUGAUUUUAGAUUUAGAUGAGAGUAUAGUAAAAUUGUAGCAAUGCUAAUAAUUUAAGCUGUUUAUGUAUACCUGAGACACCAUUAACUGACAUUUUUUACAACCUGCUGAAGUAAUGACAAAGACAAAUAUUUAUUAAAUAUCUUGCUGGUUUGUUUUGUUGGGGACAAACUGGGGUGUGGACGAUGUUAAAGCUAAGAUCAUAAAAAAACUGGAUUCAUUCUAGGCUACGCAACUAAAAAUACAUAAAUCAUCUGAUUAACUGCAUUGUAAGGAUGUAGGUGUUACAAAUAUCUAGUUGAAACACAGGAUUUCUCUGCAGGGGAGGCAUGCACUGCCCGAGUUUGAAGUGUAACAUGGGAUUUCUCUCCAGAGCAGCCAUGCACUGCCCAGGCUGGAAGUAUGCUCAACCACAAGGGUCAGGGCUGGGAGAGGCGCUUCGGUAGCAAGAAGGUGCCUCUGAAAACCAGCAUUGGGAUGGAGAGGGCUGAAGGCAAGUGCUGGAUGUGACCACGGGCAGCUUUCAGGCUGGGAGCACGGAUGCCAAGAACCCAAAACACCAAAAAAACUGGUGCUUAGACCCACAGGUCCAAGAACCGAAGGAAGAAAAUGAAACAAUUUAUUUUCAGUACUGUAAACACUGCUGCUAUUCUCUUAGAUGUUUUUCUUCCAUGAUAUACCCUUAUCCUGUAUUGGUUUGUAUAGAUUAGCACAUUAGGUUUCAGAAGUCAUUUUAAACUCCAUCUUCAUCCUCCAUAUUUGAAAUAUUUAAAAUCUACAGAUUUUCAGGUCAAAGUUGUAGAGAUAAGUAAGCUAGAAAACAAUAAUAGAAAACAUGAGACGAUUGGUCUCAAAUUCCAAACAGGUGACUUGAGAUGUCCUAGAGAAAGCAGCUGGAGCCAUAGCACCUUUGUCUCUAACAGCCGAUACACUCAGAGGCUCAUGUGCUUCUGUGCGCCAACCCCAAUCGCCCUGACGGGUGCACAACUCAACUAAAUAUACUCAUUUAAAACAUCCAAAUAUGUUGACUGAGUGCCUGCUAUGUGGAAAACAUUUUCCUGGGAACUCUGGGGAAAGGAAACACUCAUUUUGAUAUAGAUUAUAAUCUGAAAUCCAUCACAGCUGAUAUUCCACACGAUGGUGUAGCAGACACUUUCCAAGGUCACCACCCAUCUCACAAAAGGAAAUUAAAUCUGAUUCACAGAGCAGACCACAAAGAGCAUGUCUGGACCUAGAACCACAGCAUGUAACCUCGGAAGCAGUGAGACACCAGCCAGCAUGGACAAGCAGCAGGCACUUGCUCUAUACCAGAUAGGUCCCACCUCCAGCCUUCCCCUGCUGCCAUCUAACAUCCUAAACUCCAGCUCUGAAUGUCUGUCUCCUGCUCUGAAUCUUCAGUGACUUCGAAACUCAAGUCAGGACACCUCUCAGU